rnacentral:tRNA from 1 species
CUUAUUAAGUAUCUGAGCUGCAUUUAGGAGAUGUAUAUUAGAGUUAUACAGGUCUUC